GACGAACGCUGGCGGCGUGCCUAAUACAUGCAAGUUGAGCGCUGAAGGUUGGUACUUGUACCAACUGGAUGAGCAGCGAACGGGUGAGUAACGCGUGGGGAAUCUGCCUUUGAGCGGGGGACAACAUUUGGAAACGAAUGCUAAUACCGCAUAAAAACUUUAAACACAAGUUUUAAGUUUGAAAGAUGCAAUUGCAUCACUCAAAGAUGAUCCCGCGUUGUAUUAGCUAGUUGGUGAGGUAAAGGCUCACCAAGGCGAUGAUACAUAGCCGACCUGAGAGGGUGAUCGGCCACAUUGGGACUGAGACACGGCCUAAACUCCUACGGGAGGCAGCAGUAGGGAAUCUUCGGCAAUGGACGAAAGUCUGACCGAGCAACGCCGCGUGAGUGAAGAAGGUUUUCGGAUCGUAAAACUCUGUUGGUAGAGAAGAACGUUGGUGAGAGUGGAAAGCUCAGCAAGUGACGGUAACUACCCAGAAAGGGACGGCUAACUACGUG
rnacentral:rRNA from 1 species